AGGAUGAACGCUGGCGGCGUGCUUAACACAUGCAAGUCGAACGAUGAUCCUCAGCUUGCUGGGGGGAUUAGUGGCGAACGGGUGAGUAACACGUGAGUAACCUGCCCUUGACUCUGGGAUAAGCCUGGGAAACUGGGUCUAAUACUGGAUAUGACCUUCUGGCGCAUGCCAUGUUGGUGGAAAGCUUUUGUGGUUUUGGAUGGACUCGCGGCCUAUCAGCUUGUUGGUGGGGUAAUGGCUUACCAAGGCGACGACGGGUAGCCGGCCUGAGAGGGUGACCGGCCACACUGGGACUGAGACACGGCCCAGACUCCUACGGGAGGCAGCAGUGGGGAAUAUUGCACAAUGGGCGCAAGCCUGAUGCAGCGACGCCGCGUGAGGGAUGAAGGCCUUCGGGUUGUAAACCUCUUUCAGUAGGGAAGGAAGCUGGUCCUUUUGGGGGUUGGUGA
rnacentral:rRNA from 1 species